GAGUUUGAUCGUGGCUCAGAUUGAACGCUGGCGGCAUGCCUUACACAUGCAAGUCGAACGGCAGCACGGGAGCUUGCUCCUGGUGGCGAGUGGCGAACGGGUGAGUAAUGCAUCGGAACGUAUCCUGGAGUGGGGGAUAACGUAGCGAAAGUUACGCUAAUACCGCAUAUUCUGUGAGCAGGAAAGCGGGGGACCUUCGGGCCUCGCGCUCUUGGAGCGGCCGAUGUCGGAUUAGCUAGUUGGUGAGGUAAAGGCUCACCAAGGCGACGAUCCGUAGCAGGUCUGAGAGGAUGAUCUGCCACACUGGAACUGAGACACGGUCCAGACUCCUACGGGAGGCAGCAGUGGGAAUUUGGACAAUGGGGCAACCCUGAUCCAGCCAUGCCGCGUGAGUGAAGAAGGCCUCGGUUGUAAGUA
rnacentral:rRNA from 1 species